GUGCUCACUUUGGCAAUUCAUAUAUUAAAAUUGGAAAAAUACAGAAAUUAGCAUGGCCCCUGUACAAGAAGGACACAGAAAUUUGUGAAGCAUUCCAUAUUUUU